rnacentral:tRNA from 1 species
UCGGGAAGACAGGAUUCGAACCUGCGACCCCUUGGUCACAAACCAAGUGCUCUCCAAGCUGAGCUACUUCCCG